ACACAAGUUUAUUUCUCUUUCAUGUAACAGGAGAAUGCGGGUUGGCGAGGGUUGAAAUGGGGUGAUGGGUGGGGCAUUCUGCCCAUGCCGCCUUUCAGGGAUCCAGGUUGAUGAAGGCUUUUCUGUCUUUGACGUGUGGCUUUCAAAGUCAUCCUGAGCACUGACAUUAGCCAGCAGACAGGGAAGAGAGAAGAUGCUAAGCUCCAUGAGAGUAAAAGAUUCAUCAUUAUAUCCUUGGUGCUUCGCACAGAAUAAGUGAUCAACAAAUGCGUGCUGAAUGAAUAAAAGAAGAUAUAUAUUUAUUAAAUGACUUUUUAUAUGACAAUAUAUAUUUAUAUAUUGGUGCUUUCCAUUGCAAGUGACAAAAGAACCAAUUUUCCUAAGUUAAACAAUAAAAUGGUUUGUUGGCACAGUGUCAUCUUUGUUCUUAAGUUGGUUCUGUCAUGGUUGGAAGAUGACUGCAUGUGCCACCGUGACUGACCUCCUAUUUCCUCAUGGAGAGAACAGAGGAAGCACAACUUCCCACAGUCACUGAAUAAAAGUCUUUAGCUUUGUUCUGAUUAAACCUAGCUCAAUCUUUGUUGCAAAGGAGAUAAGAU
rnacentral:lncRNA from 1 species